rnacentral:rRNA from 1 species
UACGGGGGGGGCAAGCGUUGUUCGGAAUUACUGGGCGUAAAGGGCUCGUAGGCGGCCAACUAAGUCGGACGUGAAAUCCCUCGGCUUAACCGGGGAACUGCUUCCGAUACUGGAUGGCUUGAGUGUGGGAGAGGGAUGCGGAAUUCCAGGUGUAGCGGUGAAAUGCGUAGAUAUCGGAAGGAACACCAGUGGCGAAAGCGGCUUCCUGGUCCAGCACCGACGUUCAGGCACGAAAGCGUGGGGAGCAAACAGG